rnacentral:sRNA from 1 species
AACACGUCUGCCAGACGUUGAGCUGCGC